rnacentral:rRNA from 1 species
CGCAACGGGAGGAACGUGCGGUUUAAUUGGAUUCAACACCGGAAAACUCACCAGCAGCGACUAUUACAUGAAAGUCAGGCCGAUGACCUUACUAGAUUUUUAGAGAGGUGGUGCAUGGCCGUCGUCAGUUCGUACCGUAAGGCGUUCUCUUAAGUGAGAUAACGAACGAGACCCUCACCAAUAAUUGCUACUGCGUCGUCCGCGGCGUAGGCACAUUAUUGGGACCGCUGGCGCUAAGUCAGAGGAAGGAGAGGUCAACGGUAGGUCAGUAUGCCCCGAAUCUGCUGGGCUACACGCGCGUUACAAAGGGCGGGACAAUGGGCUCCGACACCGAAAGGUGAAGGCAAUCUCGAAACCCGUCCGUAGUUCGGAUUGAGGGUUGUAACUCACCCUCAUGAAGCUGGAUUCCGUAGUAAUCGCGAAUCAACAACUCGCGGUGAAUAUGCCCCU